rnacentral:sRNA from 1 species
GUAUUUUAAAAAUACCAGAAUUUUUUAAAGAUUGAAACCAAAGGUUUCAGUAUUUUAAAAUCUGCUGAUUUUAAAAACGCACCUGCGGAUGCCUUCCAAUUCCGUAGCACUGCAAAUUCUGCUUUAAACAGAGAGGAAACUCUCAGUGUGGAGGAUAUGGAAAUGAGUUGUAACAACCCCAAAGGGAACCAAUCCUCUGGCAGGAG